rnacentral:rRNA from 1 species
UUCCUACGGGGGGCAGCAGUGGGGAAUAUUGCACAAUGGGGGGAACCCUGAUGCAGCGACGCCGCGUGAGUGAAGAAGUAAUUCGUUAUGUAAAGCUCUAUCAGCAGGGAAGAAAAUGACGGUACCUGACUAAGAAGCCCCGGCUAACUACGUGCCUGCAGCCGCGGUAAUACGUAGGUGGCAAGCGUUGUCCGGAUUUACUGGGUGUAAAGGGCGUGCAGCCGGAGAGACAAGUCAGAUGUGAAAUCCACGGGCUCAACCCGUGAACUGCAUUUGAAACUGUUUCCCUUGAGUGUCGGAGAGGU